CAGCCGCCACGGUAAAACGUAGGUGGCAAGCGUUGUCCGGAAUUAUUGGGCGUAAAGGGCUCGCAGGCGGAUUCUUAAGUCUGAUGUGAAAGCCCCCGGCUCAACCGGGGAGGGUCAUUGGAAACUGGGAAACUUGAGUGCAGAAGAGGAGAGUGGGAUUCCACGUGUAGCGGUGAAAUGCGUAGAGAUGUGGAGGAACACCAGUGGCGAAGGCGACUCUCUGGUCUGUAACUGACGCUGAGGAGCGAAAGCGUGGGGAGCGACCAGGAUUAGAUACCCGUGUAGUCCCUGUCUCUUAUAC
rnacentral:rRNA from 1 species